GCACUGAUAGUUCAGUGGUAGAAUACCUGCCUUCCACCGAAAACAGCGAAGCAUGUGGCACGGGUUCGAUUCCCGUUCAGUGCA